AGGAGGAGGUCUAAAGGGCUGGUAAAGUUGCUGAUUAGAAGGAGGUGGAGAGGCGGGGAUUAAAGUGGCUGAUAUGGGUUUUAGAGGGGUUUUUGGGGAUGGAGAUAGGGAGAUAAAGAGGGAAGAGUAGUGGCUAAGGAAAGAAGAAGAGAAGGGUUUAUUGGAAUUGGAAAGAGAGAUGAGCAUGUGGGCGUUUACAGUUGCAGAAAGCAUGGUGGGAAGAGUGAAGAUGAAAUGAGGUUCAAACUUCAAAGGAAGGGAAGAGUUCCUGUACCU
rnacentral:misc_RNA from 1 species